rnacentral:rRNA from 1 species
UACGUAGGGUGCAAGCGUUAAUCGGAAUUACUGGGCGUAAAGCGUGCGCAGGCGGCUUUGCAAGACAGAUGUGAAAUCCCCGGGCUUAACCUGGGAACUGCAUUUGUGACUGCAUGGCUGGAGUGCGGCAGAGGGGAUGGAAUUCCGCGUGUAGCAGUGAAAUGCGUAGAUAUGCGGAGGAACACCGAUGGCGAAGGCAAUCCCCUGGGCCUGCACUGACGCUCAUGCACGAAAGCGUGG